GCCAGUAAUACAUUAUUCUGGUUUUUUUUCUUAGAGUGUUGAGACGUCUGGUUACGCUUAUUACUCAACUGGCAAAAGAACUGUCAAACAAAGGUGUACUUAAAACUCAAGCAGAAAAUACUAACAAGGCUGCCAAAAAAUUUAUGGAAGAAAAUGAAAAACUAAAAAGGAUUUUGAAAAGCCAUGGUAAAGAUGAAGAAUGUGUUUUG
rnacentral:sRNA from 1 species